UGGGCACGGGUGGGCAAGUGGAAAAAGCAAAAUCAAAAACAGGCUGUUGUGUAUCUCAAAUUCUAAUAAAAACAGCUAUAAAGUUUCACGUAUUGCAUUUCUUUUUUAUAAGCACAAAAAUCAUUAGUUUGUUAUUAAGCCUAGAAACCAACUCUUUUCUUAAAAAAUAUCUAAUAUUUAAUACCAAACAUGCAUUUUGGG
rnacentral:lncRNA from 1 species